rnacentral:rRNA from 1 species
AUUGAACGCUGGCGGGAUGCUUUACACAUGCAAGUCGAACGAGUGGCGGACGGGUGAGUAAUAGAUAGGAAAAUGCCCAGUCGCGGGGGAUAACUACUGGACAGAGUGGCUAAUCACGCAUACUAUUGGAGAGGCCGAUAUCGGAUUAGCUAGUUGGUGGGGUAAAGGCGCACCAAGGACACGAUCCGUAGCGGGUUUGAGAGGACGACCAGCCACACUGGGAGUGAGACACGGCCCAGACUCCUACGGGAGGCAGCAGUGGGGAAUAUUGGACAAUGGGGGCAACCCUGAUCCAGCCAUCCCGCGUGUAUGAGAAGGCCUUCGGGUUGUAAAGUACUUUUGGCAGAGAAGCGGUAUCUGCAGAAUAAGCACCGGCUAACUACGUGCCAGCAGCCGCGGUAAUUC